UGAGGGGGGCUGCUCCUAGUACGAGAGGACCGGAGUGGACGCAUCACUGGUGUUCGGGUUGUCAUGCCAAUGGCACUGCCCGGUAGCUAAAUGCGGAAAAGAUAAGUGCUGAAAGCAUCUAAGCACGAAACUUGCCCCGAGAUGAGUUCUCCCUGAGACUAUAAGUCUCCUGAAGGAACGUUGAAGACGACGACGUUGAUAGGUCGGGUGUGUAAGCGUAGCGAUACGUUGAGCUAACCGGUACUAAUGAACCGUGAGGCUUAACCUU
rnacentral:rRNA from 2 species